rnacentral:tRNA from 1 species
GUUAAAAUGGUUGAGUGGUUUAAGGCGCUAGACACAAGUUUUGGUCCUUGUGUGAGGGCGUGGGUUCAAAUCCCACUUUUGCCA